GUUGCCCCUAGAAGCAUUGCAGGUAUGGCUGCUGUGUCACAUAUGUGUCGGUAGGGGACAGAGAGAACAGAGGCUAUUUCUAAGCUCAGUGUUCUGACCUAUGGACAUCUGAAUAAUUAACAGCCUAACAUU